AUGUUCGAGGCUGUGUCACUGUGUGCUGUGCUCGGCGGAGGGACCAAGCUGACCGUCCUGGGUCAGCCAAAGUCCGCGCCCACGGUCACUCUGUUUGCUCCCUCCACUGAGGAGCUCAGCGCCAACAAGGCCACCCUGGUGUGUCUCAUCAAUGACUUCUACCCGGGCAGCGUGACGGUGGUCUGGAAGGCAGGCGGCACCACCAUCACCAGGGGCGUGGAGACCAGCCAGCCCUCGAAACAGAGCAACAGCAAGUAUGCGGCCAGCAGCUACCUGGCCCUGACGGCCAGCGAGUGGAAAUCUUACGACAGCGUCACCUGCCAGGUCACGCACGAGGUGACCACCGUGGAGAAGACAGUGUCACCCUCCGAGUGCUCUUAGGUCCUGGUCCCCCCACCCUCAGGGGACCGGAGCCACAGGACCCCUGGAGGGUCUACCCACCCACCCUGCUCCCCCCAGCCCUCCCUCCUGCACCCAAUCAACUCUCAAUAAAAUGUCCUCAUUGUCA